rnacentral:rRNA from 1 species
UUAAAUUGAAGAGUUUGAUCAUGGCUCAGAUUGAACGCUGGCGGCAGGCCUAACACAUGCAAGUCGAACGGUAACAGGAAACAGCUUGCUGUUUCGCUGACGAGUGGCGGACGGGUGAGUAAUGUCUGGGAAACUGCCUGAUGGAGGGGGAUAACUACUGGAAACGGUAGCUAAUACCGCAUAACGUCGCAAGACCAAAGAGGGGGACCUUCGGGCCUCUUGCCAUCGGAUGUGCCCAGAUGGGAUUAGCUAGUAGGUGGGGUAACGGCUCACCUAGGCGACGAUCCCUAGCUGGUCUGAGAGGAUGACCAGCCACACUGGAACUGAGACACGGUCCAGACUCCUACGGGAGGCAGCAGUGGGGAAUAUUGCACAAUGGGCGCAAGCCUGAUGCAGCCAUGCCGCGUGUAUGAAGAAGGCCUUCGGGUUGUAAAGUACUUUCAGCGGGGAGGAAGGGAGUAAAGUUAAUACCUUUGCUCAUUGACGUUACCCGCAGAAGAAGCACCGGCUAACUCCGUGCCAGCAGCCGCGGUAAUACGGAGGGUGCAAGCGUUAAUCGGAAUUACUGGGCGUAAAGCGCACGCAGGCGGUUUGUUAAGUCAGAUGUGAAAUCCCCGGGCUCAACCUGGGAACUGCAUCUGAUACUGGCAAGCUUGAGUCUCGUAGAGGGGGGUAGAAUUCCAGGUGUAGCGGUGAAAUGCGUAGAGAUCUGGAGGAAUACCGGUGGCGAAGGCGGCCCCCUGGACGAAGACUGACGCUCAGGUGCGAAAGCGUGGGGAGCAAACAGGAUUAGAUACCCUGGUAGUCCACGCCGUAAACGAUGUCGACUUGGAGGUUGUGCCCUUGAGGCGUGGCUUCCGGAGCUAACGCGUUAAGUCGACCGCCUGGGGAGUACGGCCGCAAGGUUAAAACUCAAAUGAAUUGACGGGGGCCCGCACAAGCGGUGGAGCAUGUGGUUUAAUUCGAUGCAACGCGAAGAACCUUACCUGGUCUUGACAUCCACGAAUUUCAGAGAUGAGAAUGUGCCUUCGGGAACGUGAGACAGGUGCUGCAUGGCUGUCGUCAGCUCGUGUUGUGAAAUGUUGGGUUAAGUCCCGCAACGAGCGCAACCCUUAUCCUUUGUUGCCAGCGGUCCGGCCGGGAACUCAAAGGAGACUGCCAGUGAUAAACUGGAGGAAGGUGGGGAUGACGUCAAGUCAUCAUGGCCCUUACGACCAGGGCUACACACGUGCUACAAUGGCGCAUACAAAGAGAAGCGACCUCGCGAGAGCAAGCGGACCUCAUAAAGUGCGUCGUAGUCCGGAUUGGAGUCUGCAACUCGACUCCAUGAAGUCGGAAUCGCUAGUAAUCGUGGAUCAGAAUGCCACGGUGAAUACGUUCCCGGGCCUUGUACACACCGCCCGUCACACCAUGGGAGUGGGUUGCAAAAGAAGUAGGUAGCUUAACCUUCGGGAGGGCGCUUACCACUUUGUGAUUCAUGACUGGGGUGAAGUCGUAACAAGGUAACCGUAGGGGAACCUGCGGUUGGAUCACCUCCUUACCUUAAAGAAGC